rnacentral:rRNA from 1 species
UACUCGAGUGGCGAACGGGUGAGUAACACGUGGGUGAUCUGCCCUGCACUUCGGGAUAAGCUUGGUAAACUGGGUCUAAUACCGGAUAGGAGCCAUCUUUAGUGUGGUGGUUGGAAAGUUUUUUCGGUGUAGGAUGAGCUCGCGGCCUAUCAGCUUGUUGGUGGGGUAAUGGCCUACCAAGGCGGCGACGGGUAGCCGGCCUGAGAGGGUGUACGGCCACAUUGGGACUGAGAUACGGCCCAG